AACGAACGCUGGCGGCAGGCCUAACACAUGCAAGUCGAGCGCCCCGCAAGGGGAGCGGCGGACGGGUGAGUAACGCGUGGGAACGUACCCUUUGCUACGGAAUAGCCUCGGGAAACUGGGAGUAAUACCGUAUGUGCCCUUCGGGGGAAAGAUUUAUCGGCAAAGGAUCGGCCCGCGUUGGAUUAGGUAGUUGGUGGGGUAAUGGCCUACCAAGCCGACGAUCCAUAGCUGGUUUGAGAGGAUGAUCAGUCACACUGGGACUGAGACACGGCCCAGACUCCUACGGGAGGCAGCAGUGGGGAAUCUUAGACAAUGGGCGCAAGCCUGAUCUAGCCAUGCCGCGUGAGCGAUGAAGGCCUUAGGGUUGUAAAGCUCUUUCAGUGGGGAAGAUAAUGACUGUACCCACAGAAGAAGCCCCGGCUAACUCCGUGCCAGCCGCCGCCGUAAGAC
rnacentral:rRNA from 1 species